UCCGAGUUAGUAUAUCGGCUAGUAUAUCCGCCUUUCAUUCCAGAGCGCGGAGGAGACGGGUUCGAUUCCCGUACUCGGAA
rnacentral:tRNA from 1 species